rnacentral:snoRNA from 1 species
CUGCGAUGAUGACUUUCUUAGGACACCUUUGGAUGUAACUGUGAAAAGAACGCAUGAUUCUGAGCAGC